UACGUAGGGUGCGAGCGUUAAUCGGAAUUACUGGGCGUAAAGCGUGCGCAGGCGGUUUUGUAAGUCAGAUGUGAAAGCCCCGGGCUUAACCUGGGAAUGGCAUUUGGGACUGCAAGGCUUGAGUGCGGCAGAGGGGGAUGGAAUUCCGCGUGUAGCAGUGAAAUGCGUAGAUAUGCGGAGGAACACCGAUGGCGAAGGCAAUCCCCUGGGCCUGCACUGACGCUCAUGCACGAAAGCGUGGGGAGCAAACAGG
rnacentral:rRNA from 1 species